rnacentral:misc_RNA from 1 species
AAAAAUGUAAGGUUUUUUUUAAUAUUGAAAAGAAUCUAUAGUACCUACAACAGAAAAUAUUUUAAUUGUCUAUUUAAAAUGAAGACACCUUAAGAACAUUUUUCAAGUGGCAUAGUGAAAAAUUUAUUUAUUACAUUUAUGCCCGUUUAUAUUUUAAAGCAUUUAUUUACCUUUUCAUGGUUUUCUGCACCAUUGUUUGAUACCAAGUAUUGAUUUUAAAUAUUAUUUAUACACCAUUUUGUGAUGUAAACAUAUGUGAUGUUAGGCUGUUGCCAAGGUUAUAUUGUUAAAAAACAUUGCAUGUAUUUUGUAUAGUUUAUUACUUUGUUAGUCCUAUAAAUGUGUUAUUUGUUGUUUUAUGCAAACACUUGAUUUUAAAUCGAAGCCAAGUUCAUCAUACUUUUAACAGAUUAAAAAUCUUCAAACAAUGAGGAUUACUGGUAGCUCUAUGGCAAAUGCCCAAAUGUUCCUUUUACAAAGAAGUACAUAUGGAGAGAAAAUUCAAUGUUCUUGCAUACAUGUAGUACUAUUUUGAAUGACUUUUAGGUCAUUGAAUGUUUUUUAAUUGUGAAUUUUGUUUUUACGCUUUGUUUUAUAGCAACCUGAAGUUUUUUUUUUAUUUUGUCCUUCUAAUAAAUGCAAUGUUCUAGUUUGCAUUGAUGUCAAUCAGUCGAGUUUUAUACCGUAAGUUUAUUUUUACUUGGAAGUGUACUGUGUUUAGUGCUUUAUUAUAAAUCAAUCUUACCUGUAUGUACAAUACAUAUGUCAAAUAUCCCCAUCCAGCACUUACUUUCAUCAGUGUUAAGUAAAUAAAUUAUGAUGGUACUAUACUAUAACAAUUAUAUAUGUCUUAAUUUGUCAACCAUUAAUUGUUAUAAAACACUCAAUUCAACAUUGAAAUAAAUAGUGAUAAUAUUC